rnacentral:lncRNA from 1 species
UCAUGCUGCAUAACCCAUCAGCAAACCCUCCAAAAAAGCCAGGUCCUCCCAUGAAACCAGGACCCCAAGGGCCCCCCGGGCCAGGGCCCCAGCCACCAGGUCCUCCAGGCCCAGGACCGCCCCAUCCGCCAGGUCCUCCAGGCCCGGGGCCUCCCCAUCCACCUCCUCCCGGACCGCCACCACCUGGGCCUCCCCAGCCACCUCCACCACCCGGUCCUCCUCCUCCACCAGGUCCUCCAGGCCCCAUAGCUAACUCUUUAUCUCACAAUUGCACCACGGCAGUCACCACCCGAUCAAGGUAACAAAGUAGGAGUGCAAAGAUGUAGCUAAUCCUGAUAAAGAAUAGAAUACCAAAGCUAACUAAACAAGUUUUUCAGCUGACUAUAUUUAAACAUA